rnacentral:pre_miRNA from 1 species
AAUAGAUGAUACCGUUGACUUUUUCUCACAUGUUUGACCAUUCGUCUUAUUCAAAAAAUGUAAUUAUAAUUUAUUUUGUUAUGAGUUGUUUUAUCACUCAUAGUACUUUAAGUGUGAUUUAUAUCUUAUACAUCUACAUAAAAUUUUUGAAUAAGACGAAUGGUCAAACAUGUAAGAAAAAAUCAACAGCGUCAUUUAUU